GAAAUGCGAUAAGUAGUGUGAAUUGCAGAAUUCCGUGAAUCAUCGAAUCUUUGAACGCACAUUGCGCCCCUCGGUAUUCCGUGGGGCAUGCCUGUUCGAGCGUCAUUUACACCCUCAAGCUCUGCUUGGUGUUGGGCGUCUGUCUACGGACUCGCCUUAAAGCGAUUGGCGGCUUGGUACUGUGGCCUGGAGUGCAGCAGAAUUGCGCUCCUCGCUCGGGGCCUUGCUCCCAGAAGCAAACCUUUCUUUGUUUGACCUCGAAUCAGGUAGGGAUACCCGCUGAACUUAA
rnacentral:misc_RNA from 1 species